GACAGAGGGUGCUAGCGUUGUUCGGAAUGACUGGGCGUAAAGGGCGCGUAGGCGGUUUUUCAAGUCAGAUGUGAAAGCCCCGGGCUUAACCUGGGAACGGCAUUUGAUACUGGAAGACUGGAGUACGAGAGAGGAAAGCGGAAUUCCUAGUGUAGAGGUGAAAUUCGUAGAUAUUAGGAGGAACACCAGAGGCGAAGGCGGCUUUCUGGCUCGUAACUGACGCUGAGGCGCGAAAGCGUGGGUAGCAAACAGG
rnacentral:misc_RNA from 1 species